AUUUGUAAGAACGCCUUGAAGCUUUCGAACUUGAUUUCUUUGGAUACUUGAAGAUCACUUCAAAGAUUUGCAGGAAUACUUGAAGAAUUUGAAGGAUACUUGAUGAAUACUCGAAGACUUGAUAGAAUUCUUUGAACUCCUCAAUCUUCCACUUCAACUUGUGAUACUAGAGAGAAUUCUUUAUGCUCUUCGAUCUUCCGCUCCUUCGAGUUUUUGAUAAUGAGCACCCCAACACCUCUAUUUAUAGAUUUUAGAGAUGGGCUUCGUGGGCUUUAUGGGCUUUGGGCCUUCAUGCAUGGGCCUUAGGGCCUUAGGUGUCCAUAAGCCCAUUAAUUCAUUUAUAUUAAAUAUUAAUUAUAUAUCUAUUUAAUUUAGGAAUAAAAUCCCAUUUA